UACCUGUUUGAGGUCCUCCUGGCUGGCAUA
rnacentral:piRNA from 1 species